GACGAACGCUGGCGGCGUGCUUAACACAUGCAAGUCGAGCGGUAAGGCCCUUCGGGGUACACGAGCGGCGAACGGGUGAGUAACACGUGGGUGACCUGCUUUAGCUCUGGGAUAAGCCUGGGAAACUGGGUCUAAUACCGGAUAUGACCUCAUGACGCAUGUUGUGGGGUGAAAGCCUUGUGCGGCUAGAGAUGGGCCCGCGGCCUAUCAGCUUGUUGGUGGGGUGANGGU
rnacentral:rRNA from 1 species